UUCAUCCAUCAUCAUGUGUCAGAGCCAUUCUUCCUGUUUCAGUCUUGCAAUGCACCUGUUUUUUAUUUUGUUUGGUUUUUUUAUUUCCAGAUGCCUCUGCAUGGACUUGAAGCUGUUGUCCAGGAGGAGAUUCUGACCCAGGAGACACAGCUGACCUCACCUUGAUAUUGACCUGCAGGUCCUUUCAUUGUGUCUGACCCAGUUUUCAGGAAGAAGACUCACUUUGCUUGGCUGGACGAUCAACUGGGGUAAAUUUUCAGAGUCAUUCCAGGCAGAAAACCGGAUUCCUCUUGCUGUUGUAACGUGUUCUUCCUGCCACCGGUGAUAUAAAGACUGUGGGCUUCACCGGCAGUGGAAGACCAGGAGAGAUCCCUCCUUCUUACUGUGAUGGGUCAUCUGGACCCUGACCUGAAUGUCAACACUGAAUGCAAGGAGAAUAUUAGUUGCUUUCCACAAUCUGUCACACAUUGUUGUCAGUUUUUUUUCGUGACAUGUCAUUUUAAAUAGUUUCUGCUAAAGCACAUUUACCUUUUGACUUGUGCAGUCAUCCUUUUUCAUAAUUUGUUCUUUCAAUAUUAUGUACAUUUUUGAAAGUUUCUUUUGUUGUAGCUCAGUUGAUUUACAUCAUUUAGUUUUCAUAGAAAUGGUGUCGUUUCCACAUAAAGUUACUUUUUGGCUGUAAUUUGUUGGAGAGACAGUGGAACCAAUAAAGUAGUUGUAAAUAUA